rnacentral:rRNA from 1 species
UAGGGGGCAAGCGUUGUCCGGAUUUAUUGGGCGUAAAGAGCGUGUAGGCGGCCAUACAGGUCAGCUGUGAAAACUCGAGGCUCAACCUCGAGACGUCGGUUGAAACCGUAUGGCUAGAGUCCGGAAGAGGAGAGUGGAAUUCCCGGUGUAGCGGUGAAAUGCGCAGAUAUCGGGAAGAACACCCGUGGCGAAGGCGGCUCUCUGGGACGGUACUGACGCUGAGACGCGAAAGCGUGGGGAGCGAACAGG